CGACAACUUCCUCUCUCAUAUUGGGCUUGUGAGCGUCAGGACUCGGCUGGUGAGCAUUUGUCCAUUCGGAGGAUCGAUGCCAGCGCGCUUCAUCGUCUCCAGCUGGAACAGCGACGAAGAGUCAAAGGGAGUUAUAAGCUACUGCAAAUCACAGUCUGCUUCACAAACGGUAGAACUGCUAAUGGUGGACCUACUAAGGUCUUUGUUGAGUUUCCCCACCUGCUGGUGAGUCAUGGUACUAGUCAUGGAUGAAUUAUCUCUCUUGCC